rnacentral:rRNA from 1 species
UGAAAAGUUAGCGGAUGACCUGUGGAUCGGAGUGAAAGGCUAAUCAAGCUCGGAGAUAGCUGGUUCUCCUCGAAAGCUAUUUAGGUAGCGCCUCGUGUAUCACUGCUGGGGGUAGAGCACUGUUUCGGCUAGGGGGUCAUCCCGACUUACCAAACCGAUGCAAACUCCGAAUACCAGCAAGUGUCAGCACGGGAGACACACGGCGGGUGCUAACGUCCGUCGUGAAAAGGGAAACAACCCAGACCGUCAGCUAAGGUCCCAAAAUCCUGGUUAAGUGGGAAACGAUGUGGGAAGGCUUAGACAGCUAGGAGGUUGGCUUAGAAGCAGCCACCCUUUAAAGAAAGCGUAAUAGCUCACUAGUCGAGUCGGCCUGCGCGGAAGAUGUAACGGG